rnacentral:rRNA from 1 species
AGGGACAGCUACUGAUAUCAGAAGUUGUCUCAUCAACUCUGAAUAGUAAGAGUAAAAUAAUGAUAUUAUCUUAUCUAUUAGUGUCGUCCAAAUACUAGUGCCAGAAGACUCGGUAAUGCCAGAGACGCAAACGUUAGUCAUCUUUAACAGGCGUAAAGGGUUUGUAGGCUGCUUUAAAAUAUUUUUUUAAUUAUUCUUUGGUCUUUUUAAAGAAAGAUUUUAUUUUCUCUUUUUAAAGAACAAUUAUUAAAUUUGAAUUAAAGCUAGAAUCAAGAAGAGGUUAAAUUUAAAUAAUACUAGCUAUAGGAUUGAUAACUGCAAAACCUAAGUAGAAUAUUAAUGGCGAAAGCUUUUUUCUAUUACUGAUUGACGCUGAUAAACUAAGGGGAGGAAAGAAAAAAGGAUUUGAGACCCUCGUAUCCCUCUCUGUCAACGAUGAAUGGUAGUUAUUAAUUAAAAUUAAAGGCGAUGUUAACACGAAAACCAUUCCGCCUUGUGAGUACGACUGCAAAGUUGAAAACAAAAAAAUUAGUCGGUUUUGGAGUAAACGAAGUGAAGCAUGUUAUUUAAUCGAAAAAAUCCGCAAAA